rnacentral:rRNA from 1 species
CAGCAGCCGCGGUAAUACGAAGGGGGCUAGCGUUGCUCGGAAUCACUGGGCGUAAAGGGUGCGUAGGCGGGUCUUUAAGUCAGGGGUGAAAUCCUGGAGCUCAACCCCAGAACUGCCUUUGAUACUGAAGAUCUUGAGUUCGGGAGAGGUGAGUGGAACUGCGAGUGUAGAGGUGAAAUUCGUAGAUAUUCGCAAGAACACCAGUGGCGAAGGCGGCUCACUGGCCCGAUACUGACGCUGAGGCACGAAAGCGUGGGGAGCAAGCAGGAUUAGAUACCCCAGUAGUCCCUGUCUCUUAUAC